ACGCUCUCUCAAAAAACCUCGUGACUGACUCAGAAACCUCUCGACUCUCACAUGGCCGACUUCUCCAACUCAUGCUCCGCCGGAAGAGGAGCAUACACCGCCGCUCACAACAAAACCGACUACGCCUCCUUAACCGGAUUCCGCCGCACCACACCUCCCGAACCGGACUCUCCUGACCAGGUACAUCUCCUUCUUCCUAACCUAGAGUUUCUUCAUCGAUUUGAGUCUUCUCGAAUAUGCAGAGACCCACUGUUGAAGUUACUGGUCACAAGGCUCACGGUCUUGUUUCUCAACCUGGAUUUGAACCUCGUUGUUCUUCCCUUCGCGUGUCUGACUCCUCCCUUUUCUGAUUCUCCUUCUCCACCGCUCGUCGCUCGCAAACCACCACAAGCUUAAGGGAAAACUCGUGAACCCUCAUCCUCCAUCGUCGGUUAACGAAAACGGAAAUUUCUCAGAGAGCUGCCACCUUGAAAAUAGCAGAAUUUCCAAUUUUGGGCCGUAUCAGGAACAGUAGAGUUCGAGUAAAAGAUACAACUUUCUCAUCAAGGCAGUUAGGGACCAGGGAAAGUAAAGAAGUUACAGUUGAAGGGAGAGUGCAGUUUGAUUUGCUCCAGGUUAUGCAAAGAGACUAUAUAUUAAGUUCUUAUUCAUUGAAUUCUGUCUCGGCUCACUUCCUUUAUGAGCAGAUUGUUUGCAGAUAAAAUACCUUGGUGAGGAUGGUGAGAAUGUUCCUGUGGCUGGAGUUGUAGCUGUUUUCUCUCCUUGGGACUUUUUGGUGGGCAAAGCAUAUUAGAAAGCUGUCAAGUAUUACAGGUAAGGUUUCUUAGUUUCCAUCCAUUGCUCUGUUUCCAUUAGUAGAAACAACUGUGUUGUGGGCAGCAAGGGGCUUCUGUAAUACAUUUUAUUGUAUAAUGUGCUUUACUAAGUCCAUGCAGAGAAGCUUAGGUUAUAGUAAUUUUCAUUUCUACUUUGAUUGAAUAUUAUCAAUGUUACAUAUUUUUAACCUAUCACAUAAUUGUUUUCAAUUCAUGUAGGUUCUGCAUCAUAAACAAUUAAAUUCCACAAGGCAUAAUUAUAUUGAACUUAAA